rnacentral:rRNA from 1 species
GUGGGGAAUAUUGGACAAUGGGCGAAAGCCUGAUCCAGCCAUGCCGCGUGUGUGAAGAAGGUCUUCGGAUUGUAAAGCACUUUAAGUUGGGAGGAAGGGCAGUAAGUUAAUACCUUGCUGUUUUGACGUUACCGACAGAAUAAGCACCGGCUAACUUCGUGCCACCAGCCGCGGUAAUACGAAGGGUGCAAGCGUUAAUCGGAAUUACUGGGCGUAAAGCGCGCGUAGGUGGUUUUGUAAGUUGGAGGUGAAAUCCCCGGGCUCAACCUGGGAACUGCCUCCAAAACUGCAUGACUAGAGUACGGUAGAGGGUAGUGGAAUUUCCUGUGUAGCGGUGAAAUGCGUAGAUAUAGGAAGGAACACCAGUGGCGAAGGCGACUACCUGGACUGAUACUGACACUGAGGUGCGAAAGCGUGGGGAGCAAACAGGAUUAGAAACCCCGGUAGUCC